UACGAAGGGGGCAAGCGUUGUUCGGAAUUACUGGGCGUAAAGGGCGCGUAGGCGGCCUCCUAAGUCGGACGUGAAAGCCCCAGGCUUAACCUGGGAACUGCGUCUGAUACUGGGAGGCUUGGAUUCGGGAGAGGGAUGUGGAAUUCCAGGUGUAGCGGUGAAAUGCGUAGAUAUCUGGAGGAACACCGGUGGCGAAGGCGGCAUCCUGGACCGAGAUCGACGCUGAGGCGCGAAAGCUAGGGGAGCAAACGGG
rnacentral:rRNA from 1 species